rnacentral:rRNA from 1 species
CCUACGGGAGGCAGCAGUGGGGGAUAUUGCACAAUGGGGGAAACCCUGAUGCAGCGACGCCGCGUGGGUGAAGAAGUAUUUCGGUAUGUAAAGCCCUAUCAGCAGGGAAGAAAGAAGACGGUACCUGACUAAGAAGCCCCGGCUAACUACGUGCCAGCAGCCGCGGUAAUACGUAGGGGGCGAGCGUUAUCCGGAUUCACUGGGUGUAAAGGGAGCGUAGACGGCCGUUCAAGUCAGGUGUGAAAGCCCGGGGCCCAACCACGGGACUGCAAUUGAAACUGGCCGGCUGGAGUACGGUUGGGGCAGGCGGAAUUCGUGGUGUAGCGGUGAAAUGCGUAGAUAUCACGAAGAACUCCGACGGCGAAGGCAGCCUACUAAACUGCCACUGACAUUGAGGCUCGAAAGUGUGGGGAGCAAACAGGAUUAGAUACCCGAGUAGUC